GCGACUAUGGUGUAAUGGUAGCACUACUCCUUGUGGAGGAGUCAGUUCGGGUUCGAAUCCCGAUAGCCGCCCA
rnacentral:tRNA from 1 species